UUCCAGUGAUUCAAGGAUGUUUCAACAAAUGCAAACCAAUCAAUGUGAUACCUUAUACCUACAGAAUAAAGGACAAAAAGCAUAUGAUCAUUUUAAUUGAUGCC